rnacentral:tRNA from 3 species
GGCCAGAUACCCAAGCAGUCUAAGGGGCUCGUCUGCAGAACGAGUAUUCGCGGGUGCAAAUCCCGCUCUGGCCU